UGCCUUUGCCAUCAAAGUGGUGAUGGGAGU
rnacentral:piRNA from 1 species